rnacentral:rRNA from 1 species
AUUGAACGCUGGCGGCAGGCCUAACACAUGCAAGUCGAACGGAGCGCCGGACGGGUGAGGAAGGCCUAGGACUCUGCCUGUUAGUGGGGGAUAACGUCCGGAACCGGGCGCUAAUACUGCUUACUAUCAGAUUCGCCUAUGUCGGAUUAGCUAGUUGGUGGGGUAAAGGCCUACCAAGGCGACGAUCCCUAACUGGGCCGAGAGGAUGAGCAGUCACACUGGAACUGAGAAACGGUCCAGACUCCUACGGGAGGCAGCAGUGGGGAAUAUUGGACAAUGGGCGAAAGCCUGAUGCAGCCAUGCCGCGUGUGUGAAGAAGGUCUUCGGAUUGUAAAGCACUUUAAGUUGGGAGGCGUUACCAACAGAAUAAGCACCGGCUAACUUCGUGCCAGCAGCCGCGGUAAUAC